AACAUCGCGCACCUGCGGGAACCUGCGGAGGGAUCAUUACCAAUUUAUAUUAUUAGUUUGUAUGCCGCUGUCAAAGGGGGUUAUACACAACUACUAUGUAAACGUUGAACUAGAUCAAUUGGUGUGGAUUGCUUGGGAAUGGACGAAGCGACGAGCCUCUUCCGGACAGGCAAGCCCCACACUGAUAACCUUUUUCAUAUCAUUUACUCGUACAUACUACAAACAACAACAAAAACAAAA
rnacentral:misc_RNA from 1 species